CCUACGGGUGGCUGCAGUGGGGAAUAUUGGACAAUGGGGGGAACCCUGAUCCAGCCAUGCCGCGUGUGUGAAGAAGGCCCUCGGGUUGUAAAGCACUUUCAGUGAGGAAGAACGCCUGGUGGUUAAUACCCAUCAGGAAAGACAUCACUCACAGAAGAAGCACCGGCUAACUCCGUGCCAGCAGCCGCGGUAAUACGGAGGGUGCGAGCGUUAAUCGGAAUUACUGGGCGUAAAGCGCGCGUAGGUGGCUUGAUAAGCCGGUUGUGAAAGCCCCGGGCUCAACCUGGGAACGGCAUCCGGAACUGUCAAGCUAGAGUGCAGGAGAGGAAGGUAGAAUUCCCGGUGUAGCGGUGAAAUUCGUAGAGAUCGGGAGGAAUACCAGUGGCGAAGGCGGCCUUCUGGACUGACACUGACACUGAGGUGCGAAAGCGUGGGUAGCAAACAGGAUUAGAUACCCUAGUAGUC
rnacentral:rRNA from 1 species